ACGUAGGGUGCAAGCGUUAAUCGGAAUUACUGGGCGUAAAGCGUGCGCAGGCGGCUUUGCAAGACAGAUGUGAAAUCCCCGGGCUUAACCUGGGAACUGCAUUUGUGACUGCAGGGCUGGAGUGCGGCAGAGGGGGAUGGAAUUCCGCGUGUAGCAGUGAAAUGCGUAGAGAUGUGGAGGAACACCGAUGGCGAAGGCAGCCUCCUGGGCCAAUACUGACGCUCAUGCACGAAAGCGUGGGGAGCAAACAGGA
rnacentral:rRNA from 1 species